GACGAACGCUGGCGGCGUGCUUAACACAUGCAAGUCGAGCGAUGAAGUUCCUUCGGGAACGGAUUAGCGGCAGACGGGUGAGUAACACGUGGGCAACCUACCUCGAAGUGGGGGAUAGCCUCUCGAAAGGGAGAUUAAUACCGCAUAAUAUGUUUUCUAUGCAUGUAGAGAAUAUUAAAGAUUUAUUGCUUCGAGAUGGGCCCGCGGCGCAUUAGCUAGUUGGUGAGGUAACGGCUCACCAAGGCGACGAUGCGUAGCCGACCUGAGAGGGUGAUCGGCCACAUUGGAACUGAGACACGGUCCAGACUCCUACGGGAGGCAGCAGUGGGGAAUAUUGCGCAAUGGGGGAAACCCUGACGCAGCAACGCCGCGUGAGUGAUGAAGGUUUUCGGAUCGUAAAACUCUGUCUUUAGGGACGAUAAUGACGGUACCUAAGGAGGAAGCCACGGCUAACUACGUG
rnacentral:rRNA from 1 species